rnacentral:rRNA from 1 species
CUGGGUUUGACAUACACCGGAAAGCUGCAGAGAUGUAGCCCCUUUUAGUCGGUGUACAGGUGGUGCAUGGCUGUCGUCAGCUCGUGUCGUGAGAUGUUGGGUUAAGUCCCGCAACGAGCGCAACCCUCGUCCUAUGUUGCCAGCAAUUCGGUUGGGGACUCAUAGGAGACUGCCGGGGUCAACUCGGAGGAAGGUGGGGAUGACGUCAAGUCAUCAUGCCCCUUAUGUCCAGGGCUUCACGCAUGCUACAAUGGCCGGUACAAAGGGCUGCGAUCCCGCGAGGGUGAGCGAAUCCCAAAAAGCCGGUCUCAGUUCGGAUUGGGGUCUGCAACUCGACCCCAUAAAGUCAGAGUCGCUAGUAAUCGCAGAUCAGCAACGCUGCGGUGAAUACGUUCCC